GUGAGAAUCUGCCCAUAGGAUAGGGACAACAGUUGGAAACGACUGCUAAUACCUGAUGUGCCGAGAGGUGAAACUUUUAUGGCCUGUGGAUGAGCUCGCGUCUGAUUAGCUAGUUGGUAGGGUAAAGGCUUACCAAGGCGACGAUCAGUAGCUGGUCUGAGAGGAUGAUCAGCCACACUGGAACUGAGACACGGUCCAGACUCCUACGGGAGGCAGCAGUGGGGAAUUUUCCGCAAUGGGCGAAAGCCUGACGGAGCAAGACCGCGUGGGGGAUGAAGGUUUGUGGAUUGUAAACCCCUUUUGAUUGGGAAGAAUAACUGACGGUACCAAUCGAAUAAGCCUCGGCUAACUCCGUGCCAGCAGCCGCGGUAAUACGGAGGAGGCAAGCGUUAUCCGGAAUUAUUGGGCGUAAAGCGUCCGUAGGUGGUUUAGUAAGUCUGCUGUUAAAGCGCGGGGCUUAACUCCGUAUCGGCAGUGGAAACUACUAGACUAGAGUGUGGUAGGGGUAGAGGGAAUUCCCAGUGUAGCGGUGAAAUGCGUAGAUAUUGGGAAGAACACCGGUGGCGAAGGCGCUCUACUGGGCCAUAACUGACACUGAUGGACGAAAGCUAGGGGAGCGAAAGGGAUUAGAUACCCCU
rnacentral:rRNA from 1 species